AUUGAACGCUGGCGGCAGGCCUAACACAUGUAAGUCGAACGGUAGCACGGAGAGCUUGCUCUUGGGUGACGAGUGGCGGACGGGUGAGUAAUGUCUGGGAAACUGCCUGAUGGCGGGGGAUAACUACUGGAAACGGUAGCUAAUACCGCAUAAUGUCGAAAGACCAAAGAGGGGGACCUUCGGGCCUCUUGCCAUCAGAUGUGCCCAGAUGGGACUAGCUAGUAGGUGGGGGAAUGGCUCACCUAGGCGACGAUCCCUAGCUGGUCUGAGAGGAUGACCAGCCACACUGGAACUGAGACACGGUCCAGACUCCUACGGGAGGCAGCAGUGGGGAAUAUUGCACAAUGGGCGCAAGCCUGAUGCAGCCAUGCCGCGCGUAUGAAGAAGGCCUUCGGGUUGUAAAGUACUUUCAGCGAGGAGGAAGGCAUCAAGGUUAAUAACCUUGGUGAUUGACGUUACUCGCAGAAGAAGCACCGGCUAACUCCGUGCCAGCCGCCGCGGUAAGAC
rnacentral:rRNA from 1 species